UGUGAGCUCGAUGAGUAGGGCGGGACACGUGGUAUCCUGUCUGAAUAUGGGGGGACCAUCCUCCAAGGCUAAAUACUCCUGACUGACCGAUAGUGAACCAGUACCGUGAGGGAAAGGCGAAAAGAACCCCGGCGAGGGGAGUGAAAAAGAACCUGAAACCGUGUACGUACAAGCAGUGGGAGCACGCUUAGGCGUGUGACUGCGUACCUUUUGUAUAAUGGGUCAGCGACUUAUAUUCUGUAGCAAGGUUAACCGAAUAGGGGAGCCGAAGGGAAACCGAGUCUUAACUGGGCGUUAAGUUGCAGGGUAUAGACCCGAAACCCGGUGAUCUAGCCAUGGGCAGGUUGAAGGUUGGGUAACACUAACUGGAGGACCGAACCGACUAAUGUUGAAAAAUUAGCGGAUGACUUGUGGCUGGGGGUGAAAGGCCAAUCAAACCGGGAGAUAGCUGGUUCUCCCCGAAAGCUAUUUAGGUAGCGCCUCGUGAAUUCAUCUCCGGGGGUAGAGCACUGUUUCGGCAAGGGGGUCAUCCCGACUUACCAACCCGAUGCAAACUGCGAAUACCGGAGAAUGUUAUCACGGGAGACACACGGCGGGUGCUAACGUCCGUCGUGAAGAGGGAAACAACCCAGACCGCCAGCUAAGGUCCCAAAGUCAUGGUUAAGUGGGAAACGAUGUGGGAAGGCCCAGACAGCCAGGAUGUUGGCUUAGAAGCAGCCAUCAUUUAAAGAAAGCGUAAUAGCUCACUGGUCGAGUCGGCCUGCGCGGAAGAUGUAACGGGGCUAAACCAUGCACCGAAGCUGCGGCAGCGACGCUUAUGCGUUGUUGGGUAGGGGAGCGUUCUGUAAGCCUGCGAAGGUGUGCUGUGAGGCAUGCUGGAGGUAUCAGAAGUGCGAAUGCUGACAUAAGUAACGAUAAAGCGGGUGAAAAGCCCGCUCGCCGGAAGACCAAGGGUUCCUGUCCAACGUUAAUCGGGGCAGGGUGAGUCGACCCCUAAGGCGAGGCCGAAAGGCGUAGUCGAUGGGAAACAGGUUAAUAUUCCUGUACUUGGUGUUACUGCGAAGGGGGGACGGAGAAGGCUAUGUUGGCCGGGCGACGGUUGUCCCGGUUUAAGCGUGUAGGCUGGUUUUCCAGGCAAAUCCGGAAAA
rnacentral:rRNA from 1 species